UACGUAGGGGGCUAGCGUUGUCCGGAAUCAUUGGGCGUAAAGCGCGUGUAGGCGGUCCGGUAAGUCCGCUGUGAAAGUCGGGGGCUCAACCCUCGGAUGCCGGUGGAUACUGUCGGGCUUGAGUACGGAAGAGGCGAGUGGAAUUCCUGGUGUAGCGGUGAAAUGCGCAGAUAUCGGGAGGAACACCAGUAGCGAAGGCGGCUCACUGGACCGGUACUGACGCUGAUGCGCGAAAGCGUGGGUAGCAAACAGG
rnacentral:rRNA from 1 species